GGUGUCCGCCUGCAAAGAUCCUCAGAAAUGGCCCAAAUUAGGUGUUUGAAGUAGAUUUUAUUGCAGAGUUGUUUUGUUUUUAUAGAAUAAGAAUAAAUCCCUACUUUGUUAUAAGAUAAAAGGAAUAUUCCUCCUUCAUGGCCAGUGAGACAGCAAGGCAAACGUCCCUUAUUCAAGAAGAUCCUCCGGCAGAUGAAUGCCGUGAAAAUGUUCCACCUGAAGUUUCUGUGGCUACAACGCUGAAAGUUCAGCCUGAGAAUGAAAUGAGUUCCCCUGUGAGGCUGUGUGAAGGAACCAGACCUGGAUCUAAUAUUAAUACUUUAUCAACACCAACUCUGAGUGGUGGGCAUGGAGGCAAGGCAAGGUCACAGCUAUCUGGGAUACAGUCUGCUGUCACCCCAGUUUUAAAACGCUUAAAUAUCGACAACAAAUGCCCGAACCCUUUAAAACAUGGGAACAGUCCUCACCCAUCAUCUCCUUUUUACCCCGUGGAGGUUUCUACUGCACAUCGAGAAUCAAAAGGAGACUUCUGGAGACAAAUCUGGGCUAAAGAGGCUCCUUUCUCCCUGAUUGAAGAGGAGAGCUUGCCUGAAAUUUCCUCGCUUGAGCUUACCUACUUACACUUAACAGCAAACGAUUCAGUCCUCCCUCAAGGUUCAACUGCAACAUUUAGUGAUGAAACCCAUCAAAUUCAAGUGAGUGUUGGAGAAAGUGGUGGAUCUUCUGAGGUACCACAGCUGACCGCCACGACAACGAGCGCAGACCUCCGUACCAAGAGUGCUUCUGCAUUGGCGGGGAUACUAGACACUGAGAUCACUCUGCUUGAUGUUUCGUACAACAAUGAUCUCUCACCGGUUGGUCAGAUUUCGUCUUUGGACAUUAUUCGUGAUAUUCCCGCGUGUCAUUAUUUGAAUGACAGCAACACUUUGCCAGAACCAAGUAGACGGAUUGAGUCACAACCCAGCAGUUCAAACGUGUUUCUAAACAAGGAUGUGUCGAGUACGAGUAUGCAAUCCCCAAAGUGUGCAGCAGAAAGGACUAUCAGAAUGUCCCUGGAAGUAACUCGUGACAUUUCUGUGGGUAGUACCUUGGAAAAUGGCACAUUUUCAUCAGAGACUAGUGGACAGAAAAUGCAAACAUCUCACACAUCAGAUGAGGACAAAGUUGUCCCCCAACCUGCAAAUAUUACUCACGAUAUAAGCGCCUCUAGUGGUAACAGUAGUUCAAAGGAAAUCCCGUCUGAUGUGUGUCUGCAUUCUGGACCCAAAGAGGUCAACAAUCUUGUAGAAACAAAGAAUGAAGAGAACCAGACCUGCUGUGACACCAAGUCAACCAACAAGAUGUCACAGCAAAGUCCAGAACCCGCAGCAUCAGCCAACGACACGUUUACAGUCCCGUCUUCCAACAUGACUGCUUCUUCUGAUUCUAGCACCUCUGCUUCCUGUUCUGGGAAGAAUACGCUAGACCUUCCAACUGUAAACAAUCCAACCGCAGAAUCUGAGACCAAGAAUCAAGCGGAGUCGGUUGCCAAAACAUCCUUUGUUGUAAAUCAAAGCAGCUUUUCUGAAAAGAAAAACUUUGAAAAAUCCUCUCUUCAAAAAAGCAGCGGGGGCUCUACUUUAGAAGCUGCUGCCGUCGGCUUCGAGAACCUCACGUUUGACUGUAAAGCCCCCUCUCAGAGAAAUGGCACGAUCACUCUGUCGGAGAUCAGCUUGACUGAUGGUCAUCACACUUUGGACAAGCCCUCCUCUCCUAAAGUCUGUAAUUUAACCACCAGCCUAAAUCGCAAUGAUUCAGAAGAAAACCCCAAAGAGCUGCCGAGGCACGAGGCCAUGCCGCCGCCAGGGGCGGAGGAAAAACCUGGUGACACUUUGGAAGUCACACCUGCUCUGGAAGGCGUUUCUGGAGAUGAUGGAGGUGACGCCAAACAUCUGUCGCAGUCGGGUCUGCCUGUAAGGGAUGGUUCUUCCGACACGCCAAACAACCAAAGUGUGGAUGCCGUGAGCAACAAAACACCCGAGUUCAAUCUGGAUAAAACUCUGGAUUUUAGAGUAGACCUUUUGAUUACUUCAACACCGAUGACCAGCUGUAAAAGUUUUAACGUUGGCUCAAUCAGAGAGGCGGCUCACAAAAAGCUUUAUGAAGCUGGUCCCAGUAAGCCUGCUGACGCGGCGGUAUCGGAUAUCCCACCCAACAUAGUCGGUGACCGAAAAACCUUCAUGAGGCAGCCUGCUGUUGGAACCCUUCGCCCGCCUUCAAGAGUUGCUCCCCAGUCGUCAAUGAGCCGGCGGGGAUCCACCGUCCCUGGACGCCUGGAGAAGAUGUCGGCCGGCCUGCCUCUGAAGCAUUCCAGAAUCCAAGAGGCUGCUGGGAAACCCUCUGCUGCUAUGGAGGAGCCUCGGAGGAACGCUGGGACUUCAGGAUCAUACAACCUGAAGUCUUUAACAGCAGCUUCCAGGAAGCUUCCUCCUGACCUGCAGAGACCUCCAUCUAGCACCAUCCCACGACUGACAACAGGACAGCGAUUACCAACGGCCAGAACACACACGCUAGCAUCCUCAGGACCUGCAGUUCCCAAUCCUGUGGUGAAGCAGCCACAGGGAAAGAAGCACCCAUUUCCAAAGGGAGAAGCUUUGCCCGUGUCAAAGAAGAAAAAAACAGAGGCCCCAGCAUCUCCUGGUGAUUCUGCAAGCAAGGUGAAAACCCUAAAGCGGCCUGUCAUUGGUCAGACGUCUGCCCCUACUAAAGUCCAAAGGAAUGAUGCUGAGAUGCCAACAGCAGGAACCUCUGGAACCUCAACAUCAUGUGACAGACCCAGCAAAUUCAGAGCUUUGAAACCACCCGGAGCCAAUCAGAGAGCUCCUUUGGCGACCUCCCAAAGCCACGGUUGUGCCAAAUGUAUGGUCCUCCAAGAGGAACUCAAGCUAAAGUCAGAAGAAGUGCAGAGGCUGAAUGAAGAGCUGCUCAAGUACAGAAAACCAGACGACUGCUGA
rnacentral:lncRNA from 1 species